rnacentral:lncRNA from 1 species
UCUUCUUCUCACAGCUCAGCUCACUGGCAAUGCCUGUCAAACAGCCAAGUGCUAUCACACUGAGCACCGCUAACUGCUUCAGCAGAAGACAGUGUUUCUUUGGAAGGUAAGGGAAAGGAGGUGCAGACACUAAUGAAGUUUUAUUAUCAGAACACAGAAUCAAGAUUGUGACAAGAGACAACGGUGGUGAUGACAUGCAGUAAUGAUGUUAAAGUUUGUGAAGUCUCCAGCUAAAUCUCAAGGACAGAAAUGUUGAGAAGGCUGAGCUGGUGAAUACUCUUGAGUGGAAACAGUUUGGAAAGCAAAAAUAUAAAGCAAAACAAAAUAAAACGAACCCCCACAGGAAAAAAAAUUAAAUAAAAUUAGGCCUAAGCCAAGCCAAUCGAAGCAAAAUACAGGGUCAUAUAAGAGUUUCCUCCUAUCUGAAUGAUAAAGUCAGUGAGCAGGGAUGUUUGCUCUGAAAAACAAGGUGGAUAACUUGGAUCUGAUGAAUCACAAUUAAAAGAAGCAUGGCAGUUUUGAAAUAUUGUUUUAGUGAUUUGUAAUUAUUUUUGAGUGAAAGAGAUAAAAAAGGUGAAAAGAGGGAGGUAGGGAAACAGAUGAGGCUAAGAGGAUUCAUCCUUAUCCAAAAUGAAGCUCACACAUGUCAGUCUUGAGGAGGUCGCCAAUUCAGAACGGCCUGCUUGGAACUCAGCUCACAAAGGGUCUUCGUUCUCCUUCCUCCUUCUUCCUUUCUUAUCUAUCCUUUUCCUUUCUCCUGUUCUUCCUGGUGUAAGUCUGGCUGCCUCACUGACUUCUCCAUUUCCUACUCUUCUCUUCCUUUCCUUCUCUAAGAUCAGGGGUGGGAGCUCCCGAGUGGAGGGUAUGUUGUAUGGGGUCGGGGUGCUGCUGUUGGGCAGGGCUGCUGGGGGACAGAAGGAGGAAAGAGGACUGCAGAUGCUAUCAUCAGCCUGCUUCAGGUCAUUACGAACAUUGUGAUAUAUCUAAACCCCCACCCCACUCUGAACCAAUGUCAUGAAGAAGUGGUAUACAUUGUACUUAAGGUUCUUGAAGAGCCACCAAAGGGGGAGAAUUACAGAUUAUGACUUUCCAGCUGGUAUCCUAAUGGUAUCUUCCCUUCCCUUCCCCAGAAGAGCCAACUUGGCAUGAUAGCUGUUCCCUGUCUCUCAUCUCUGCCUCCCCACAAAUCUGCAGAUCUUAUAUACAAAUGUUUUGAAUCUCAUCAUAUUCAUAUAUAUAUAUAUAUAUAUAUAUAUAUAUAUAUAUAUAUAUAUAUAUAAAAUGGUGCUGGAGUAAACUAUCUCUUCCAUCUGAAAAACCAACAAACGAUUCUGUGAAAUCCCCUCCUAGGCUUAUACUCAAAACAAUUGGAAACACGUGUUCAUAUAAAAUCUUGUGUAUGAAUGUUCAUAGCAACCUUAUCUGUAAUAGUCCAAAAGUGAAAUUGAGCCCAAUGUCUCUUAGCUGGUGAAUGUCAUAUGACCAUACAGUAUAAUAUUAUUCAGUCUUAAAAAGUUCUGAUUCAUGCCUCAGCAUGGGUGAUUCUUGAGAACAUUAUGCUAUGUGAAAAAAAAAACAGUUAUAAAAGACCACGUAUGAUUUUGUUUAUAUGAAAUAUCCAGAAUGGGCAAAAACUUAAGACCAAAAGUAGAUCUGACUAUUGUUUGUGUAGGGUUAGAGGAGCUGGGUGAAUACACCUAAGGACUAUAGAGUUUCUUUUGGGUUCAUAAAAAUGUCCUAAAAUUGUGGUGACAGUUGCAUAAUUCUGAAUACACUAAAAGCUACUGAAUUGUAU